rnacentral:rRNA from 1 species
UACAGAGGGGGCAAGCGUUUGUUCGGAAUUACUGGGCGUAAAGGGCGCGUAGGCGGCCUCUUAAGUCGAACGUGAAAUCCCCGGGCUCAACCCGGGAACUGCGUCCGAUACUGGGAGGCUUGAAUCCGGGAGAGGGAUGUGGAAUUCCAGGUGUAGCGGUGAAAUGCGUAGAUAUCUGGAGGAACACCGGUGGCGAAGGCGGCAUCCUGGACCGACACUGACGCUGAGGAGCGAAAGCCAGGGGAGCAAACGGG